CCGUACAAUACAAUCAUUCCUAUGAAAGGCCAAGGAAAAGCGUCGUUUCAAAUUUAGGAAAAAAAGUAUGGAGGAAUGUGAUGUUUGGAAAAGUGAGGAAACUUCUUUUGGGGCUCAUAAUUAUAAAGAAUUUAGGCCUUUUAAGGGAAGGAAAUGCCAAUUCUUUGGAGUUCCCAUCUAUGCCGAGAGACUAUAAAAUAGAAUUUAAAAAAGAUGUGGUUCCUGGGGUGGAAACAACUUCAAGAAAAGUACAAUUACCAUUAUAUUGUAAAGUUGAACAGGGAAUAAAGAAAUUGGAACUGUAUGAUAUUAUUGUUAAAGAGUUUGAACCAAUGGAAUGGUGGAAAUCAAAAAGGAUGAAGUCGACUAUCAGAAAUUAAAUCAAUACAUCCACGUUCCCAAAUUUCGUUUAUCGUCCUGUCGGAGUACAAUUGGGAAAAGGAAAAAUAUUCUCCAUGUUAGACGCUGUUAUGGGUUUCCAUCAUAUAAAAUUAGAUCUUCGAAUAAGUAAAAUGAUAACCUUCAUCGCACUAUUUGGGAGAUAGAUUUAAGUGUCUUCCUUUCGGUAUCCCCAGUAGUCCAGAGGUAUUCCCAGUCCAAUUAACGCAGAUGUUAGAUUUCGUCAAGGGCGUAGACGUUCAUAUAGAUGAAAUCCUUAAAACAAGUGAGGCAGACCAUGGACAUGAGGAGCGUUUGGGGAAGGUCAUUGAUAUUAUGGACAAAAAAAUAUUAAAUUAAAUGAGGGAAAGUUUGUGUUUAGAGUCAAGAAGAUAAGGUUUUCGGUUAUAUGAUAUCCAGUGAAGGUGUAUUCCCUGAUCCUGGAAGGGUUGAAGGCCUCAAAAGGGUAAAACUGCCGGGAGAAGUAAAUGAAGUGAGGUCUUAAAUCAAUUGGCAAAAUUCAUUCCACAUUUAACAUCAAAAACGAAUUCGGUAAGGGUAUUACUUCAGGAAAACUGUCAUUUUAAGUAGGGAGAAGAAUAACAGAAAUGUUUCGAUGAACUUCAAAAGGAAAUUUUCUAAUAUAAUGAAUCUUGCAAGAUAUCAUGAAGGGAAGUCACACAAGAUCAAUGCUGAUGCUUCAUCACAAGGGAUGGGAGCCGUUUGAACUCAAAGGGAAGAAGGAACAUGGAGACCUAUUGCAUACGCAAGUAGAGUGUUAACUAAAGUUGAAAGAAACUAUGAUCCCAUCAAAAAAGAAGGCUAUGACAUUUGUUUGGGAUUGUGAUUACAACGCUUAAUAUGUAUUGAGGUGGAGAUUUGAGAUAGAAACUGUAAACCAUAGACCAUUAGAAAACUUAUUGGAGAAGCAUUCUUUGGUGGACUAGCCAUUGAGAAUACAAGCGAUUUAAGCUCAAGCUCCAAAGCAUAUCUGAGAAAAAAAUGGAGCAAGAAAUAAAUGAAAAAUUUAGCCUAGGAUGAGAGAUUUGUACAAGAACCGAAAUGAUUAUAGUGAUUUACCUGCUUCAGAUAAAGGAUUAAGACAGAUCGAAGAUUGCACUAGGAAAGAUCCUAUACUUGCCGAAGUUAUAAAUUACGUUUACUUCGACCGUUGGCUGAAGUAUAUAACGGAUGUAGAAAAUAUGUUGCACCCAUACAAUCACGGCCAUUUAGGAAUUGUUAAAGCAAAAAUGAGGUCAAAAUCUACUGUAUUUUGGCCCGGGGUUGGAACUCAAAUUGAACAACUAAUAGACUCCCCUUCAAAAUACUCAAAA
rnacentral:lncRNA from 1 species